AAUUUGCAAAAAAUCACUGUAAAACAUGUCAAUUUAGAUUUUGUCUUUAGCUGUAAAAUGUUAGAUUUUGAACUCGGCUAUUCUAGUUUUUGCAGCUUAAAUUUACUUCAGAUUCAGAUUGACUGGACUUGCUUCAUCAAGUUAUCAGUUGAAAACAGAAAUAAAAGAAAUAUCGCAGGAAUGAAGGUCUGAGAGCAUGAGAAAACGUACUUGGUUCUGAAUUUGAAUUUACCUCCAUAAACUAAUGUUAAGAUUGAAGAACAUAGAUAAACAACUUGUUAUAUUCUGGAGAUAUGUCAUGUUUUCAUUUGGACUAAAACACAGACAUGUUUUGGUCAAUGAGAGGACUACUCCUGCUGGCGGAGGGAUUCUAUGCACCUGCAAAGGCAAUCCAAAUAAGGCGGAUUAAUAUGUGAACCUACUGUCUGAAUAAGUGGACUGUUAAAACGCGUGCGAUUUUAUUCCUGCUGAAAGACACACUGGAGGUGAGUGUACAUGAGUUUAAAAUCUAUUUGCCCUUAACUUUGAAGUUGUAACAUAAAGAUAAAAGAGUUAACUUUGUACAUCAUGCUUAUAAAUAAUUUUUGAUAGAAGGUUAAAAAUGUGAAAGUAUAGGAACAUUGGUUUGUUUUAAUCUGGUGCAAUAUUUGUUUUUCUUUAAUAAACAACUGAAGUUUGUCAUUGGACUUUGACUUUAAGUUAGCUAGCUUCAGUCAACAUUAGCAACGUUAGUUGUUGGCUUGGUGAGGGCAAAGAUGGUGGUGGUCUGACAGUCAGCGGGGAGAAAUGGCAGAGCUGCAGCUCCACUUGGUUUAUUAUGGAAUAACCAACGUUUCUUAUCAUGAUGAUGGCCUGAGCAAGCAUUUCCAGUUCACGAAGUGGAAAUGUAAGUUUUGUGCAUUCUCCCAAGUUGCCAAGGAAGAACAAUGAAACAUUAUAGACAUGGGCAUCAUAGAAGAUAUUCAGAUAAUGAUGGCUGCUGCAUGCACUGAAGUUUUUGUAAAUAAAAGCACGAGACGAGAGGAAAACUGCAAGUCAGUCCAAAUAAAGAGAGAUCCACUACCUGCCAGAGCUGCCUGAUGGACAGACUACUGUUAAAUCAGAGGAUACUGAGUCUGCGCUUGGGGGAAAUGCAGAAGAGGGACCCAGAUUCAUAGGUUCUGGACAAACUGAUGCUUGCAACAUUCUCACAGUGGAGAAAGGAGAUCGUUGGUGGUGAGCCACUCAUCUCUGCUGUCAUGGACAGAUGGCCUGCAUUGUUUUGCAAGAGACAAGUCCUUUGCCAGUUGAGUACAGUUUACUUGGUACAAUUUAGAAAUUAUUUAGUACUUGUAUUUUAUUGGAAUUUUCAAGUUUGAAGACUUGUUUACUUCUACGCCACUGGAUCUCUACUGUAAAACGUUGUACUUUUCACUCCACUACAUACGUCUGACUUACUUUCCGAGCAAACUUAUAACAAUCAGUCAGUAUAACUUAUACAUCAGAGUUGAAACUUCAGCUAAAAACAAUAAAGACGAAAGAUUUUACUGCAAUGUGACUGCAGAAUGCUGACCUUGCUCUUUGCCCUGUAUUUAAUUCAUUUGUACUUUGAUAAGUUUAAGCCAUAAAAUUACAUUUGAAAUGUAACAUAAAGUAAGGUGUGUGUGUGUGUGUGUGUGUGUUUGUCAUGGUAAUCUCAUGGAGAAACCCUUGAUGUGAUCAUGAAAGGAAUGCAGAUUGGACUGCUGACUGGACACCUCUGAUUGACGCAUUUCCUCUGGAAGCCUUAAAUGUGGUUGUGGUGGUGGAGGAGACCGUCAUCCUGCAGGAGCUCAGAGAGGUGCCCACAGGUCUUGCCAUGCUAAUGGGACAUCGCAUGUAAACAAAUGAAUGUGCAUCAUGCUCCUGGUAGAAAGGAGUAGUUGUUUUGGACUCUUGCUUGUUCUGCACAUUGUUCUUGUUUUUUGACAGUGUCGUUUGUACAGCUCUGGUCAGGUAUGAAAAGAGGAGAGAAUUAAGGUGGAAAACCUAAUGCUGUUCUGAACUGUAUUGAUUGUUUAUAUUUUUUCAGAGGAAGUAACUUUCAUGAUGAACCAACUAAGUUAUUUUAGAAUUAUUUUCAAUGAUUAUUCUACCUAGUCAAGGAAGUUAAUUAUAUGGUUCAUAAAAGCUCUCAUUAGCCCUUACUUCUCUUUCUUCAUGUGUUAUACUGUCAGUUACAGUUUUGGCAGUAUUUGGUAAAUAUUUUACAAUGUACUCUGUUUUUCAUAUUCAGUAUAUUGAAAUUAUUAGACUGUUGGAAAAUGUGGGACCAAUGUGUAAACGCUCAAGUGUCUUGAUGUGGGUAUGUGUAAUUAAGAGCAACAUUGUUUCCGUUGAUCUUAUGAUAUUGAUCAUCUGUGUUGUGACGCAGGUUUGAGAUCAUAGUUUAUGUAUAACACUGUUUUUCUAAAUACAUUUCUGACAACACAUGCACUGCAACUAUUAACUAUGAUUAAUAAAUAUAGGAAACUUGCAACAAUCAGUCACUACAACUUAUGCAUAGAAGUUGAAACAUAUUUAAAAUGCAAAUCUUCUUAACUUGAAAUGGAAAGUUAUAUAACUAUAGAACCUGAAGGUGUGAGUUCUACGAAUAUCAAAAUGUGAGCUUGUUUGACUUGUUAAAUAAGGUUUUCUCGCACUGAGGAUGUAAGGUUAGUGUUUAUUGUCUGAGGACAAAGUUAAAUAAACUUACACAACUUAAAAA